rnacentral:rRNA from 1 species
UUGACAAGGAAUUUUCCGGAGAAGCAUAAGUGGUCACAUGCUUACGACGAAGGAGGUUUCCGAUACGGAGACAUGACAAGUAACAUGGUGGAAUGCUUCAAGAAUGUGCUCAAGGGUGUCCGUUCCUUGCCGGUCACUGCAAUAGUGAAAUAUACCUUCUUCAAGCUCAACGAGUAUUUUCUGAGGCAUUUCGAAGAGACGGCCAAAUGGAUAGGUGAGAAAAUGGAAUUUCCCUUCAAAGUUGAGGAUUGGUUGAAGCAUCAAGUGCGCAAGUCUUGGCAUCAACAAAGUAUCCGAUGGUACCACCUUGCAGUUGCAUGA